UACGAGGGGGGCGAGCGUUGUUCGGAAUUAUUGGGCGUAAAGGGUGCGUAGGCGGUUUGGUAAGUCUUGUGUGAAAUCUACAGGCUCAACUUGUAGUCUGCACGAGAAACUGCCGGGCUUGAGUGUGGGAGAGGUGAGUGGAAUUCCUGGUGUAGCGGUGAAAUGCGUAGAGAUCCGGAGGAACACCAGUGGCGAAGGCGGCUCGCUGGGCUCUACCUGACGCUGAGGCGCGAAAGCGUGGGGAGCGAACCGG
rnacentral:rRNA from 1 species